CCUUUGAGGGGUUAAGGCUCCCAGUAGACGACUGGGUUGAUAGGCCAGAUGUGGAAGCCCUGUGAGGGGUGGAGCUGACUGGUACUAAUAGGCCGAGGGCUUGUCCUCAGUUG
rnacentral:rRNA from 1 species